AAGUCGUAACAAGGUUUCCGUAGGUGAACCUGCGGAAGGAUCAUUACCGAGAUAGGGUCCCCCCGGGGGCCCGAACCUCCCACCCUUUGUCGUCGAUCAAAAUGUUGCUUUGGCGGGACCGUCGCGCCGCGUCUCCCCUUCGGGGGCUCCGUGGCCGGCUGCCGGGCGUCCGCGCCGGGUAAGUGCCCGCCAGAGACCAAACCAACCCUAGUUGUAAUACCGUCUCGUCUGAGUCUUAUACGAUUAAAUUCAAUCAAAA
rnacentral:misc_RNA from 1 species